UAGGGAAUAUUAGUAAUGGGCGCAAGCCUGAACUAGCAACGCCGCGUGUGCGAAGAAGGCCUUCGGGUUGUAAAGCACUUUUUGAGAGGAUGAGGAAGGACGGUACUCUCAGAAUAAGUCUCGGCUAACUACGUGCCAGCAGCCGCGGUAACACGUAGGAGGCAAACGUUAUCCGGAUUUACUGGGCGUAAAGCGCGUGUAGGUGGUUUGGUAAGUAGGGCGUGAAAGCUCCUGGCUCAACUGGGAGAGGCCGUUCUAAACUGCCGAACUAGAGGAUGGUAGAGGGAGGUGGAAUUCCGGGUGUAGCGGUGGAAUGCGCAGAUGUCCGGAGGAACACCAGUGGCGAAAGCGGCCUCCUGGACCAUUCCUGACACUCAGACGCGAAAGCUAGGGUAGCAAACAG
rnacentral:rRNA from 1 species